rnacentral:rRNA from 1 species
AUGAACGCUGGCGGCGCGCCUAACACAUGCAAGUCGGACGAUUAAAGCACCUUCGGGUGUGUAUAAAGUGGCGAACGGCUGAGUAACACGUGGGCAACCUGCCCCUCUCAUUGGGAUAGCCACGGGAAACCGUGGAUAAUACCGAAUACUUCGGGACUUCCGCAUGGAAGACUCGAGAAAGCUCCGGCGGAGAGGGAUGGGCCCGCGGCCUGUUAGCUUGUUGGUGGGGUAAUGGCCUACCAAGGCAAUGAUGGGUAGCUGGGUUGAGAGACCGACCAGCCAGAUUGGGACUGAGACACGGCCCAGACUCCUACGGGAGGCAGCAGUGGGGAAUCUUGCACAAUGGGCGAAAGCCUGAUGCAGCGACGCCGCGUGCGGGAUGAAGGCCUUCGGGUUGUAAACCGCUUUCAGCAGGGACGAGGCGAAAGUGACGGUACCUGCAGAAGAAGCCCCGGCUAACUACGUG